CUAGGUAAGCAGGCCUUGAUCCUGCAAAAAAUUAGUUAACAACUAAACACCCAAACCAGCGGGCUUUUACCUAGGAGUAUGA
rnacentral:tRNA from 1 species